GCUGGCGGCAUGCUUAACACAUGCAAGUACGAACGGUAACAGGACGCUAGGAUCCCUUCGGGGUGACUUUGUCGCUGACGAGUGGCGGACGGGUGAGUAAUGCAUAGGAAUCUACCCAGUAGCGGGGGAUAACGUGAAGAAAUUCACGCUAAUACCGCAUACGUCCUACGGGAGAAAGCGGGGGACCUUCGGGCCUCGCACUAUUGGAUGAGCCUAUGUCAGAUUAGCUUGUUGGUGGGGUAACGGCCUACCAAGGCAACGAUCUGUAGCUGGUCUGAGAGGAUGAUCAGCCACACUGGGACUGAGACACGGCCCAGACUCCUACGGGAGGCAGCAGUGGGGAAUAUUGCACAAUGGGCGCAAGCCUGAUGCAGCAAUGCCGCGUGUGUGAAGAAGGCCUGCGGGUUGUAAAGCACUUUUAUUAGGAAAGAAAAACCCGGAGUUAAUACCUCCGGCAUUGACGGUACCUAAAGAAUAAGCACCGGCUAACUCAGUGCCAGCAGCCGCGGUAAUACUGAGGGUGCAAGCGUUAAUCGGAAUUACUGGGCGUAAAGCGAGUGUAGGCGGCUACGUAAGUCGGAUGUGAAAGCCCCGGGCUCAACCUGGGAAUUGCAUUCGAUACUGCGUGG
rnacentral:rRNA from 1 species